UGAGGAAUAUUGGUCAAUGGGCGAGAGCCUGAACCAGCCAAGUCGCGUGAGGGAAGACGGUCCUAUGGAUUGUAAACCUCUUUUGCCGGGGAGCAAAGAGCGGCACGUGUGCCGCGCCGAGAGUACCCGGAGAAAAAGCAUCGGCUAACUCCGUGCCAGCAGCCGCGGUAAUACGGAGGAUGCGAGCGUUAUCCGGAUUUAUUGGGUUUAAAGGGUGCGCAGGCGGCGCGUUAAGUCAGCGGUAAAAUUUCGGGGCUUAACCCGACGAGCCGUUGAAACUGGCGUGCUAGAGUGGGCGAGAAGUAUGCGGAAUGCGUGGUGUAGCGGUGAAAUGCAUAGAUAUCACGCAGAACUCCGAUUGCGAAGGCAGCAUACCGGCGCCCAACUGACGCUCAUGCACGAAAGCGUGGGUAUCGAACAGGAUUAGAUACC
rnacentral:rRNA from 1 species